AUCCCCCAGCCAGGCUGGGGGUUCAGUAAAGCUUUCAGCUUUGGCCAGUUAUUAAAACCCUUUUUGAUUGGUUCAAACACCUUGCGGUCUGGCAACGGCAAGAGUCAAACAAGCAAUCAAAAG
rnacentral:sRNA from 2 species